CUGGUGGAUCAAAUAGAAACUAAUUAACUAGUUGGUGUCUAAGAUAAGUUUGGCAGAUUCGAUCAAGUAAUUUUUAAUUGAGAGCUAUUCACCUAGAUGUGUCUACGGUGAGUUAUGGGCAUAUCCCUCUCACUGAUCUCACUGUUAGAUGUAUAUCCUAGAAGCCAAUAUGACUGACAAAUUAUAAUAACUCUAGAAUAAUUUUAUACUUAAUAUAU
rnacentral:lncRNA from 1 species